rnacentral:rRNA from 1 species
GUGUUUCUAUACUUGUAUAGGAUGAAAGUGGCGAACGGGUGAGUAACACGUAGGUGACCUGCCCCGAGGAGGGGAUAACUCUUUGAAAGAGGAGCUAAUACCCCAGAUGUCUCAGCCGUUAGAGGGAUGAGACUAAAGCUGAGGUGUCUCGGGAGGGGCCUGCGGGCUAUCAGCUAGUUGGUGGGGUAAGAGCCUACCAAGGCGAAGACGGCUAGGGGGCGUGAGAGCGCGAUCCCCCACAAGGGAACUGAGAGACGGUCCCUACUCCUACGGGAGGCAGCAGUGAGGAAUAUUGAGCAAUGGGCGCGAGCCUGACUCAGCAACGCCGCGUGGAUGAAGACGGCCUUCGGGUUGUAAAAUCCUUUUCUGAGGGACGAUGAUGACGGUACCUCAGGAAUAAGUUCCGGCUAACUACGUGCCAGCAGCCGCGGUAAAACGUAGGGGACAAGCGUUAUCCGGAUUUACUGGGCGUAAAGCGCCCGUAGGCGGCCGCUCAAGUUGGAUGUGAAAGCUCCCGGCUUAACUGGGAGAGGUCAUUCAAAACUGGACGGCUAAAGGCUGAGAUAGGAGAGCGGAAUUCCCUGUGUAGUGGUGGAAUGCGUGAGAUCGGGAGGAACACCAGUGGUGAAAGCGGCUCUCUGGUUCANCCCUGACGCUGANGGGCGAAUGCGUGGGGAGCGAACGGGAUUAGAUACCCCGGUAGUCCACGCUGU